UUACAACUCCAAAACCUUAUGUGAACGUAC
rnacentral:rRNA from 1 species